rnacentral:rRNA from 1 species
GCCUYGCCUGUUUACCAAAAACAUGUCUCCUYGUAGAAUAAAGAUUGGGAGUCGGGCCUGCCCACUGAGUGAGUUUAAAUGGCUGCGGUACACUGACCGUACUAAGGUAGCAUAAUAAUUUGCCUUUUAAUUGGAGGCUAGUAUGAAUGGUUUGACGUGAAAUARACUGUCUCAACUAUAUUUAGUAGAAUUUAACUUUUAGGUGAAGAGGCCUAAAUCUUGUGGGAAGACAAGAAGACCCUAUUGAGCUUUAAAUAUUUGUGUUAGUGAGAACCUAAGRUUUAUAUGAUGGUCACUACUUAGAAGUAUGUUGGUUGGGGCGACCGAGGAGUACAAAAAUAACCUCCUCGUAAUGUAAAGAAUUUGUUAUCAACGAACCUGUAAUAUGGGUUAUUCGGUAGUUACCAUAGGGAUAACAGCGUAAUUCUUUCGAAGAGUUCAUAUCGAAGAAAGAGAUUGCGACCUCGAUGUUGGAUUAAGGUGUCCUAAGGGUGAAGAAGCUCUURAUGGUUGGUCUGUUCGACCAUUAAUAACCUUACGUGAUCUGAGUU